rnacentral:rRNA from 1 species
CCCAAGUGGAGCGAACAGAGAAGGAGCUUGCUCCUUCGACGUUAGCGGCGGACGGGUGAGUAACACGUGGGCAACCUACCUUAUAGUUUGGGAUAACUCCGGGAAACCGGGGCUAAUACCGAAUAAUCUGUUUCACCUCAUGGUGAAACACUGAAAGACGGUUUCGGCUGUCGCUAUAGGAUGGGCCCGCGGCGCAUUAGCUAGUUGGUGAGGUAACGGCUCACCAAGGCGACGAUGCGUAGCCGACCUGAGAGGGUGAUCGGCCACACUGGGACUGAGACACGGCCCAGACUCCUACGGGAGGCAGCAGUAGGGAAUCUUCCACAAUGGGCGAAAGCCUGAUGGAGCAACGCCGCGUGAGUGAAGAAGGAUUUCGGUUCGUAAAACUCUGUUGUAAGGGAAGAACAAGUACAGUAGUAACUGGCUGUACCUUGACGGUACCUUAUUAGAAAGCCACGGCUAACUACGUGCCAGCAGCCGCGGUAAUACGUAGGUGGCAAGCGUUGUCCGGAAUUAUUGGGC